rnacentral:tRNA from 7 species
GCCGGGUUAGCGAAGUAGUCAAACGCAAGUGACUGUAAAUCACUCGCCCUCGUGGCUUCGGGAGUGCAAAUCUCUCACCCGGCA